AAAAGAUAUGGCCAGUAUCAGUUUAAACAGAAAACGCGUUUGAAUAGGCAGAAAAUGAUCAAAUGAGUAGUAUAUUAGAACUUGCAAAAUCAAUUGGAGAAGAAGGUUUUGUGGAUAUGAUUAUUGAGGAUAUUCAAGAUUUAUUAGUAGGAGAAGUAAUUGAAGAAGCAGAUCUGGUAGAAAUGGCAUCCAAAAUGAAUCAAAUCAGUUCUGAGGAUAACAGCACUGAUGAAGAUUGUAAAGUUAAUACUUUAGACCUUCCUGCAAUUUUUUUAGUGUUAAAGUUAGCCAAACAGCUAGAAUUACUUUUCUUGAAUGCAGAGCCUUUGGCAGAAAGAAGUCGU
rnacentral:lncRNA from 1 species